rnacentral:rRNA from 1 species
UACAGAGGUCCCAAGCGUUGUUCGGAUUCAUUGGGUGUAAAGGGUGCGUAGGCGGCGCGGUAAGUCGGGUGUGAAAUCUCGGAGCUUAACUCCGAAACUGCAUUCGAUACUGCCGUGCUUGAGGACUGGAGAGGAGACUGGAAUUUACGGUGUAGCGGUGAAAUGCGUAGAUAUCGUAAGGAACACCGGUGGCGAAGGCGGUUACCUGGAAGAUUCCUGACUCUGAAACACGAAAGCCAGGGGAGCAAACGGG